rnacentral:lncRNA from 1 species
CAGAGCGAAACUCUGUCUCCAAAAAAAAAAAAAAUAGUUGCCGUGGGCAGUACUAGUGAUUUGUUAAUUAUAUAUCCAACACCUAUUUCUUGAGUUGCCUUCUAGUCUAGUCUGGACUGGCUUAUAGGAACGUUUUUCAAACUUUUUUGACAAUGGCCUACAGAAGAAAUAUAUUUUACUUUGUAAAGCAUAGACAUGUGUCUGUCAUUGAAACAAAAAUUUCACAAAAUAAUAAUCACCCCUCUUUUGAGUGAUUCACUUGGAUAUCUUCUAUGCUUUUAUACUUUGCCACCUUAUUUUUAAAAAUACAAAUUAUGGCCCACUAAAUGGAUUCCAUGACUUACAAAUGGGUCACAACCCAAAAGCUGAAAAAUACUGGCUUAUAUGAACAAUACACAGAUCGUGCCCUCAAGGAAUUUAUACAUUAGUUGGGAGUCUCAUACAGUUCACAGACCUCUUACAGUUGGAAAGGCCUGGAGGUCAAUUAGUUCCACUACCUACUCGAUAUUUGAUUCUACAGCAUCCCUGAAAAAAGGUGAGAAAUGUGAAAAAGGCUUGUUUGCUAUUUCAAGGACAAGAAGUUACCUCUUAUUUGGAACCUAACACAAGAUGGGUCAAAUAGAGACCCGUUUUUAACAGGUCUCUAUUUAAAACAGUACAGAAGCAAAUACAAAUGAAUCAAGUAUCAAAAUACACACUUGAUUUCUUUUUUCUAAAAGAUAACUUGGACCUUUGUUCCUAAACCCAUCUUAGUCCUUUUUAGGAGGAGGGUGAAAAGGGGAAGGUAAAUCAGGGGGACAGAGGUCUAGAAAGCCUUCUCUCUGAUGACCUGAAGAAGGGGUCUUAGCAAGUUACAUCACAAGCAGCCUUCGUGAUUGAGGAGCCUAAUAAAUGACACCCACAAUGACGGCUAGGAGAGUGGAAGUCAGGAAAGGCUCCCCUGAGGAGGUUUGAAAUGAGCUGAGUCUUGAAAGACUGACUGGCAUCAGACAGGUGAAGAAAAGACGGGAGAGUGUAGUCAAAGACUCUCAAGGAGAAAUGAGCCAGUACAUUUGGCGGACAGUAGACAGGUCCCUGAAGAGGAGCAAUAAGAGAUGAAGCCAAAAAGAAAGACUGAAAGCAACCUGUGGAAAACUACUUCAGAGAAAGACUUUAAAUUUCUGAGAAAAUCUUUAUACAUAUUGAGUAUAGAUGCUAUCAACCACAUACAUGAAAAUAAUUGUUUGGGGAUAAUGCACACCAUUUGCCAAUGAUUAAGAUUCAGCCCAGUCUUUGUUGCUGCAUUUCUACAUUCACAUAAAUUGGCAGCAGCUGGGGGAAGAAUCAACACACCAGGGAGCAGAGCGGAGCGGAUCCGAGGACAGAGGCGGCAGCUGCC